rnacentral:rRNA from 1 species
CGUAGGUGGCAAGCGUUGUCCGGAUUUAUUGGGUUUAAAGGGUGCGUAGGCGGUCCUAUAAGUCAGUGCUGAAAUAUCCCGGCUUAACCGGGAGGGUGGCAUUGAUACUGUUGGACUUGAGUAAAGUUGAGGUUGGCGGAAUUGACGGUGUAGCGGUGAAAUGCUUAGAUAUCGUCAAGAACACCUAUUGCGAAGGCAGCUAACUAAGCUUUAACUGACGCUGAGGCACGAAAGUGUGGGGAUCAAACAGGAUUAGAUACCCUGGUAGUCCACACUGUAAACGUUGAUUACUCGAUGUUGGCGAUACACAGUCAGCGUCUUAGCGCAAGCGAUAAGUAAUCCACCUGGGGAGUACGCCGGCAACGGUG